GGGGAAAUAGUUGGCUGUUUCCAUGGAAAAUCAAAUCCAAAAGAAACCCAGAAUUCUUUGUCUCCAUGGAUUCAGGACUAGUGCUGCAAUCCUCCAGAAAUUAGUCCUAAGAUGGCCUGAAAAUGUACUAGAAAAAUUGGACCUUGUCUUCCUUGACGCUCCAUUUCCUGCUCGAGGAAAAUCUGAUGUUGAAGGCAUCUUCGAUCCUCCCUACUACGAAUGGUUCCAAGCCAACAAGGUCAGUCUUUCCAUUUUUCCUUCUCUUGAACAGAUUAUAGCUCCCUCAAAUCUAAAAAGAUUUAAAAUUUUCUUUUAUUGUCAUCAAAUGUAGGAUUUUACUGAAUAUUCGAAUUUUGGAGAAUGCCUUGCUUAUAUAGAAAAUUACAUGAUAGAGCAUGGACCCUUUGAUGGUCUUCUUGGUUUCUCCCAGGGUGCAAUUUUAGCAGCUGCUUUGCCAGGAAUGCAGAAAGAUGGUGUGUGUCUUACCAAGGUUCCAAAUAUCAAAUUUCUGAUAAUAAUAUCAGGGGCCAAGCUUGGUGGAUCCAAGUUUGGCCUGCCUAAACUGGCUGCAAAUGCAUUUUCAUCCCCCGUUCAGUGCCCCUCUCUCCACUUCAUAGGUAUGUGAAGCUAACCCUCUUGGAUGGAAGGAAAUGGAGAGAAGAGUUUCUCCAAAUCCAGAGAAUUGAAGUGAAAGGAAGGGUAAAGUAGAGAAAUUUUAAACCAAAAUAUUUCUUCGAAUAGAGAGAAAUUAUUAUUAAAAUAUUUAAAAAUCUUUUUAUAAUAUAUAAAUAUAUAAAAAACAAAAUAUAAUAAUUAAAAAUUAUAUUUCUUUUAUAUUUUAAUAAUUUAUUUUAACAACAUAAAAUAAAUUAAAAUUUUUUUAUUUUCUCAUUUUUUUUUAUAACCCCCUUUAUUUUUUCCAUCAAGUUAAAUAUCUAAACAAAAAGGGUAAAAUUCUAUUGAAAUUCUGUUGCUAAGACAAGAAAAGCAUAAUUUAGAUGGGUUGAAAAAAAUAAUUUUUUUUUAUUUAGAAUUUGUAUGUUUAACUUAAUUUUACAUUAAUUUUUUUAUGAAUAUAUAUAUAUAUUAAAUAUUUAUUAUGCAAUUAUCAAAAUUUGGUCAACUUGCAUCAAGUCAUCACGCCCACGCCCAAAAGGAAAAGAAAAACUAUAUACAAUGAAUUCCUAGAAUCUGCAAUUCCCAUUGGAAUGAGAACCUGCAUCUAUGGAAUUUCUAGUACAUGAGAAAAAAGAAACAAGAUUUUUACAAGUAGAAACCAACCCCUGAUCGAGUUCUGUGGAUCAAAAUCAGGCUGAUAUGUUACAUCCUUUAUGGGUUCUGUACUCCAGGAUCCCUUUAUACAGAAUUUGCCUAUUUACAGGCAUGGCCUCCAUGACUUUUGUACUACAACUCCUGUUCGUCAUCUGCCUUCCUUCUGUUAUCCUCGCCGAGUGCCUGUCACGAUAUUGUUUGUUAUUUGAUGAUGGCUCUAUCACAUCUUCUGCAAAUCGAACCCUCUUCUUGGCUUGGCAUCUCCUAGACCCCACUAAUUCAAAUUCAAUCUUCUUCAUGAAAUCGGAGACUAGACGUUUGUGGACUUGACGAGCAAUGAGAACUACGCUCCCUGAAACUGCAAAGGCAGCCAUGAAACCAAGUCCCAUAGAACUCGUCAUCUUUUCUUUUUCUUUUUCUCUCUUAAAACGUUAAAGGAAGGAACAUUUCAUGGAAUUUAAAGAAACCAACAUGGAAAAAGGCCACAGAGGAGAAGAGAAGAGAGGAAGAUAGAAAAGCAGCACGUAGAAGAAAUGGGAGGCGGCGGAGCGAGGAGUGGUUCCAGCCCGAAUGGAAGUGUAAAUUGGGGAAGAAAAGAGGAAAUUUGGUGAAGAGAGGAAGAAUAGGGCCCAGAGAAGAGAAGAUGUGGAAAAGCAGAGAGAAGGAAUGGAAGGCAAUGAGGCGAAGCAGCCGGAGCGUGGUGAGGCUGGAGGCGGAAUUCACCGAAUCAGCGGAAACGGCCCCAAAAGGAGCGGCGCGGUGAGGCCCCGCAAUGGGGCGGGGGGGGGCUCUUGUCGUUGCAGGCACUGCUUGGCCACAAAGCGCCCUGGAAUUCCCUGUGGUGGGGCAGAUUUUGGGAUAAAAAACGACGGAAAUGGUGAAUGUGUAUUUUUUUGGGGUGGGGAAAAAAAAAUUGCAAAAAAUGUGGAAAAAUAAGAACGCAACCCCAAAUCCAACGUCAUCACGCUCCGGCUGUACAGUGUUGUAGGUACCGGUGGUGCACCGCAGAGUAAGUGCCAAAUCCUUGUUUUCUUACCCCAAAAUGUUGUGCUGGGGGGGAUGGCGGAGCAGGUGGGGAAAGGAGGAUAAAAAGGUGGAAAAAGGGAAAAGUGCUGUUUUCUUUUGUGGGGGUCGGGGGGGUGUUCGAGUGUGUUUCCCCCCUCAGGUGUGGCAGCAACAGGCGACAAAGUGGAGGAGCAAUUAAAAAAAAAAAGCAUAUUAAGAUAAUUACGAUGAGAAAAUGAGAAAAAAUGGACCCUCAGGAUUUAAAGAUUUGAGCCAAGAAAGGGAAAUCUCAGCGGCCAGGAGCUUUUCUGCAGGGAGAUUUGAGGAUAAAACCCACAGAUUUGGGUAAUUGGGACUCUGAGAAGUAAGAAUUUUUUCUAAAUAAUUUAAAUUUUGGGGCGUUUCUGUGUAUUUUUGGCUGGUGGCUCGAUGGGGUCAGGGUUGUGUUGGGGGGGGUGGUGUGUUUUGGGGUGUUCUCCGCCCUUUUCGCAGAUGCAGUGAUAGGAAGCAGCGGCAGCUUUGGAAGAACAGAUUCUGUGAAAAGCCGCUUUUUGUCCUCAAAAAGGAGCUGGAAAAUCAGGAGUGCAGCUUGUGCCAGGAGCUUCGCUUAACAAAAAC
rnacentral:misc_RNA from 1 species